GUGGGGGAGGGAGAAUUACUGCGGAUUGACUGAUGGCAGCAGCAGAAUGCAGAAGAUUGUGAAUGAUCAGUGGAGCAGUAUUGACUGACAGCUUCCUUCCAAACCAUGUUCCCCCUUCCUUACUCUUCUAACGGGAAAAAAACGUUGAUAUAUUUUAAAAUGUAGAAAAUCAAUGUAACGCAUCGUAUCAGCUUGUAAUUAAAUGCAACGCCAGCUCCGUGCAUUCUUUGUGUGUGUGUGUGUAUCAAGGAUCUUAAAGCAAUUGGUUACGUUUAGCACGCCGUGUGAUUUUUUUUUCUCUUUUCCUGAUUUUGUUCACAGUGUGUGACUCAUUGUUUUAAACACUUGGAUGCAGCAGUAGCUGUAAUGUGAUUAGCCCCCCGAAGGCUGAACUUGCUUGCAAAAAGCCAUUGGGCUGAUCGCAGAGGCGAAUGCUAACUCGGAUCCAGCUGGGGUCACAGCAGAAGUGGCUCUGCCACUCUCUACAGGAUUCAGCGGCUGCCGCGACACACAACCAUCACUCUUACGCGCAAAACACACACGGAGUACUUACUGGGACACAAGCGGCUCAUAAAACAGAGUAAAGUGUAACUGCGAAACACUGGCGAUUAAAUGGAACAACUGCUUGAGCGAAUCGUUGCAAUGGAGAAUUUGCCGAGACGUUUCUCAAGGGCAUCCUGGAGAUUUAUUUUUCAAUCUCAACAUGAACACACGAGCAAGACAGAUCAAGCUAAUCUCCUCCCAGCCCUCUCGCACCCUGUUAUUUAUUUGCUAAAGGGUUGCACAUUAUCGGUGAAGGUGCCAAUUGACUCUUCGGGACUGGGGAAUUUCACGUCGGCCAAAAUAACAUUGUGAACUUUUUUUAAAAAAAAACUCCGAACUAAAAGGCAGCGAGGAGCUGGGUGUUUGAGCGCGGGAGUGGUAGUCUCUGGGGCUCACCACUCCAUUACUCCCACUGUCAAGCACAACAAAUGGGGCUCGGCUCAUUAAAAGACAGACCAUCAGUUCACACAGUCGGCAAGGAGUUGAUGCUGAACUGUUGUGUUCCUAUCGGGGCUGCACGAAACAGACCUGCGUCCUUAAUGAAUGCAGCCCUGUAUAAUUAAAUAAUUGACUGUUCCCCGGAGGAGCUAUUCGCCGCAUCUGUUCGCUGACUCCACAGGGGAUCCUAGACAAUACAGGACAAGCAGAGACUGAAGGAGGCAUCCCGGCACAUAGUUGGUUGUUUCAUCAGAUGCUCUUUAGGCAAACGCCUUCUGCUGUCAAACAAGGUGGUGGGA